CUAAUACAUGCAAGUCGAGCGAACAGACGAGGAGCUUGCUCCUCUGACGUUAGCGGCGGACGGGUGAGUAACACGUGGAUAACCUACCUAUAAGACUGGGAUAACUUCGGGAAACCGGAGCUAAUACCGGAUAAUAUAUUGAACCGCAUGGUUCAAUAGUGAAAGACGGUUUUGCUGUCACUUAUAGAUGGAUCCGCGCCGCAUUAGCUAGUUGGUAAGGUAACAGCUUACCAAGGCAACGAUGCGUAGCCGACCUGAGAGGGUGAUCGGCCACACUGGAACUGAGACACGGUCCAGACUCCUACGGGAGGCAGCAGUAGGGAAUCUUCCGCAAUGGGCGAAAGCCUGACGGAGCAACGCCGCGUGAGUGAUGAAGGUCUUCGGAUCGUAAAACUCUGUUAUUAGGGAAGAACAAAUGUGUAAGUAACUAUGCACGUCUUGACGGUACCUAAUCAGAAAGCCACGGCUAACUACGUGCCAGCAGCCGCGGUAAUACGUAGGUGGCAAGCGUUAUCCGGAAUUAUUGGGCGUAAAGCGCGCGUAGGCGGUUUUUUAAGUCUGAUGUGAAAGCCCACGGCUCAACCGUGGAGGGUCAUUGGAAACUGGAAAACUUGAGUGCAGAAGAGGAAAGUGGAAUUCCAUGUGUAGCGGUG
rnacentral:rRNA from 1 species